rnacentral:rRNA from 3 species
GAAUGCUGACAUAAGUAACGAUAAAGCGGGUGAAAAGCCCGCUCGCCGGAAGACCAAGGGUUCCUGUCCAACGUUAAUCGGGGCAGGGUGAGUCGACCCCUAAGGCGAGGCCGAAAGGCGUAGUCGAUGGGAAACGGGUUAAUAUUCCCGUACUUGGUGUUACUGCGAAGGGGGGACGGAGAAGGCUAUGUUGGCCGGGCGACGGUUGUCCCGGUUUAAGCGUGUAGGUGUGUGUUCCAGGUAAAUCCGGUUCACUUUAACACUGAGGCGUGACGACGAGGCACUACGGUGCUGAAGCAACAAAUGCCCUGCUUCCAGGAAAAGCCUCUAAGCAUCAGGUAACAUCAAAUCGUACCCCAAACCGACACAGGUGGUCAGGUAGAGAAUACCAAGGCGCUUGAGAGAACUCGGGUGAAGGAACUAGGCAAAAUGGUGCCGUAACUUCGGGAGAAGGCACGCUGACACGUAGGUGAAGUGAUUUACUCAUGGAGCUGAAGUCAGUCGAAGAUACCAGCUGGCUGCAACUGUUUAUUAAAAACACAGCACUGUGCAAACACGAAAGUGGACGUAUACGGUGUGACGCCUGCCCGGUGCCGGAAGGUUAAUUGAUGGGGUCAGCGCAAGCGAAGCUCCUGAUCGAAGCCCCGGUAAACGGCGGCCGUAACUAUAACGGUCCUAAGGUAGCGAAAUUCCUUGUCGGGUAAGUUCCGACCUGCACGAAUGGCGUAAUGAUGGCCAGGCUGUCUCCACCCGAGACUCAGUGAAAUUGAACUCGCUGUGAAGAUGCAGUGUACCCGCGGCAAGACGGAAAGACCCCGUGAACCUUUACUAUAGCUUGACACUGAACAUUGAGCCUUGAUGUGUAGGAUAGGUGGGAGGCUUUGAAGUGUGGACGCCAGUCUGCAUGGAGCCGACCUUGAAAUACCACCCUUUAAUGUUUGAUGUUCUAACGUGGACCCGUUACCCGGGUUGCGGACAGUGUCUGGUGGGUAGUUUGACUGGGGCGGUCUCCUCCUAAAGAGUAACGGAGGAGCACGAAGGUUGGCUAAUCCUGGUCGGACAUCAGGAGGUUAGUGCAAUGGCAUAAGCCAGCUUGACUGCGAGCGUGACGGCGCGAGCAGGUGCGAAAGCAGGUCAUAGUGAUCCGGUGGUUCUGAAUGGAAGGGCCAUCGCUCAACGGAUAAAAGGUACUCCGGGGAUAACAGGCUGAUACCGCCCAAGAGUUCAUAUCGACGGCGGUGUUUGGCACCUCGAUGUCGGCUCAUCACAUCCUGGGGCUGAAGUAGGUCCCAAGGGUAUGGCUGUUCGCCAUUUAAAGUGGUACGCGAGCUGGGUUUAGAACGUCGUGAGACAGUUCGGUCCCUAUCUGCCGUGGGCGCUGGAGAACUGAGGGGGGCUGCUCCUAGUACGAGAGGACCGGAGUGGACGCAUCACUGGUGUUCGGGUUGUCAUGCCAAUGGCACUGCCCGGUAGCUAAAUGCGGAAGAGAUAAGUGCUGAAAGCAUCUAAGCACGAAACUUGCCCCGAGAUGAGUUCUCCCUGAGACUUAAAGU